GGCCUUGGCCUUUCGUAGUAGCAUCCAAACUAUAGGUCCCUCGCUGAACCUUUCAGGCAUCAGCCCUGCUUGGCUAAGCCCGAGGGGCGAAGAGGGACUGCUUAGCCUAGAAGUGUUAGGCAGGGAAACUGAAAGCGUUGGAAAUUUCCUCUUACAGGCUUCCUUAUGCCUGCCUGCGAGUAAUCUCACUGAACAGGCAGACAUCUGGCAGGGACCCAGCAGCCAAGUGCCGCCUGCGCUCUCAGGCGAGCUCAGUGCCUUGGCUGCAGGUGAGAGACAGCAAUGCAGACGCGCUGGAACUAUAUAGUUUGGGAUUUCUGUCCAGCGACGGUGACAACCACCGAGUAGAGACUCACUCUUCUAGUUGCGGAGAGGAAGCUGAAGCGUUGCUGAUCAGCUUUUUCAUCUAGAGGAACUAGGCUGCCCACCCUCAAAGCACGUCGAACCGUAAGUCUCAGACUGCUUUCUGGAAGAGAAUCUGAAUUUCUUGCACUGGAUUCGGACCAGAGAAAUAGUGCAGCAGCAGAGAUGUGAUUAUAUGCGCUGGGCAUGGUCUACCUGAAGAACUGGACCAUCGGUGAAUCCUUCACCCAAAUGUACAGCUUAAAAUGAUUUGAAGCAGCCACUUUCUGCAGAGAUGAGGAGUGACUGUAAGCACUGAGUUUCUGGAUACCCUCGUGCUUCUAAUGUUUCUUUGUAAAAGGUUCCAGUCUUACACUUGACCUUUUUAAAGAGAUUUGAACUCUGAUAUU